AUGCCAGGGGUCUUGUCAUGGCAUCUAAUCGCACGGAAUGCUAGUACAAAUGAUGGAGAACAAAACAUCCAACAUGAGCAAAUUCAUAGGAGUUCUAGAUCCAUGGAUACCAUCAAGAAAAAAUGCUCAGUUUUAAUUCAGACACAAGACUUGGUGAAAACAUGCAUAUUCAUAUCAGCAACAUUGAUAUGGCAUCUUUGCAAGCUUGGGUCAGUGACUUGUCUUGUGUUUCAUGGCAUGACAAUAAUUUUAACAAUAAAUAGACAUGAAAUUGACCCAAACUCAUGUACAAAGUUAGGCCAUAUGAUGCAUGGAUUAAUUCACACAUAA
rnacentral:rRNA from 1 species